CUCCAUUCAAAGCAGGAUGACCUUUUCAAUUUUUUGCCUGACAGCUUCCUGCUCCGCUCCUGCCGCCAUUCCUGUUCCACCAUGGGAUCUAUCCCUCAGGAAUCAGAAGCCAAACUAAACCCUUUCUUCUCUAAGCAAUGGAACAGUGACC